GACGAACGCUGGCGGCGUGCCUAAUACAUGCAAGUCGAGCGGGGAUUAUGCUUGAUCGCUUCGGUGAGACGGCAUAUAUCCUAGCGGCGGACGGGUGAGUAACGCGUGGGUAAUCUACCUCGUAGUUCGGGAUAACAGGCCGAAAGGCUUGCUAAUACCGGAUGAGUUCAUGCUUAUGCAUAUAGGCAUGAAGAAAGGGCUAGCCCGCUAUGAGAUGAGCCCGCGUCCCAUUAGCUUGUUGGUGGGGUAACGGCCUACCAAGGCAACGAUGGGUAGCCGGCCUGAGAGGGUGUACGGCCACACUGGGACUGAGACACGGCCCAGACUCCUACGGGGGGCAGCAGUCGAGAAUAGUCUACAAUGGCCGGAAGGCUGAUAGUGCGACGCCGCGUGAACGAGGGAGCCCUUCGGGUGUAAAGUUCUUUUCUAUACGAGCAGUGCUAUAUAUAUGGAUAGUAUAUAUAGAGGGAUAGUAGUAUAGGAU
rnacentral:rRNA from 1 species